CAUGUACUCCCUCCGUUCCAAAUUACUCGUCGCAGAAAUGGAUGUAUCUAGAACUAAAAUACAUCUAGAUACAUUCAUACCUGCGACAAGUAAUUCAGAACGGAGGGAGUAUUCA
rnacentral:pre_miRNA from 1 species